AAAAAUGAAUUUGGGAGCUGGCGCAAACCGGCUGAGAGGAAGCUUCUUCGCUUUGACCGUACCUGAUUUGGAUAAUGCCAACGUAGGAAAUCUUAGACUUCUAAUC
rnacentral:ncRNA from 1 species